rfam:Salmo salar isolate Sally breed double haploid chromosome ssa17, whole genome shotgun sequence.
UGCGUUUACUACUGUAAGUCGCUCUGGAUACGAGCAUCUGCUAAAUGACUAAAA